AGCGAACGCUGGCGGCAGGCCUAAUACAUGCAAGUCGAACGGCCCUUCGGGGCAGUGGCGGACGGGUGAGUAACACGUGGGAACGUGCCCUUUGGUACGGAACAACUGAGGGAAACUUCAGCUAAUACCGUAUGUGCCCUUCGGGGGAAAGAUUUAUCGCCAUUGGAGCGGCCCGCGUUGGAUUAGCUAGUUGGUGGGGUAUAGGCCCACCAAGGCUACGAUCCAUAGCUGGUCUGAGAGGAUGAUCAGCCACACGGGGACUGAGACACGGCCCAGACUCCUACGGGAGGCAGCAGUAGGGAAUCUUGCGCAAUGGGCGAAAGCCGGACGCAGCCAUGCCGCGUGAAUGAUGAAGGUCUCAGGAUUGUAAAAUUCUUUCACCGGGGAAGAUAAUGACGGUACCCGGAGAAUAAGCACCGGCUAACUACGUGCCAGCCGCCGCCGUAA
rnacentral:rRNA from 1 species